rnacentral:lncRNA from 1 species
GAUUUCAAAUUCCUCCCUCUCCAAACCAAGAUCAAUUUUACAAAGAAAAGCUUCCCAAUUUCAUCCCAUUCCAUUCCAUGAAACGAACGCUACCUCAGUUUUAUACAUGACUGUGAAAGUUGUGGAAGUUCAUCAGAAGCAGUCGGGGAAUUGUGCACCAACAAGACCACUAAAGCAUGGAUCGGUGCAUGUGGAAAUACCAUUGCCAGACAUCAAAAAGGCUGAGAUCUGCUGUGCAUAGCCCUAAACUCACCAAUUAAAGAGUUACUUAUAAACCGUUGUAAAGUAUACUCAUUCAUACCCAAAAUAGCGAUAUUUACAUGUGUUAAAAGGAUUGUUGAUUCAAGCUCAUACGAGAAAGAUGUUUUGGAGUCGCCAACAGCUGAUGUGAGUGCAUGUGAAAAGUUGUCUUAAGAAGCUGGCUCGAUCUUGAAACGGCUUAAGGUGGUUGGAACGUAUGUCGGAAACCAGAAGCGAGUUUUAGUGACACUAUAAUUUUCUGU